rnacentral:rRNA from 1 species
GAUGAACGCUGGCGGCGUGCCUAAUACAUGCAAGUCGAGCGAACAGACGAGGAGCUUGCUCCUCUGACGUUAGCGGCGGACGGGUGAGUAACACGUGGAUAACCUACCUAUAAGACUGGGAUAACUUCGGGAAACCGGAGCUAAUACCGGAUAAUAUAUUGAACCGCAUGGUUCAACAGUGAAAGACGGUUUUGCUGUCACUUAUAGAUGGAUCCGCGCCGCAUUAGCUAGUUGGUAAGGUAACGGCUUACCAAGGCAACGAUGCGUAGCCGACCUGAGAGGGUGAUCGGCCACACUGGAACUGAGACACGGUCCAGACUCCUACGGGAGGCAGCAGUAGGGAAUCUUCCGCAAUGGGCGAAAGCCUGACGGAGCAACGCCGCGUGAGUGAUGAAGGUCUUCGGAUCGUAAAACUCUGUUAUUAGGGAAGAACAAAUGUGUAAGUAACUAUGCACGUCUUGACGGUACCUAAUCAGAAAGCCACGGCUAACUCCGUG